UACGGAGGAUCCGAGCGUUAUCCGGAUUUAUUGGGUUUAAAGGGUGCGCAGGCGGAAGAUUAAGUCGGUGGUGAAAUUUUGCAGCUCAACUGUAAAAGUGCCAUUGAUACUGGUUUUCUUGAGUGUGGAUGAAGUAGGCGGAAUUUGUGGUGUAGCGGUGAAAUGCAUAGAUAUCACGAGGAACUCCGAUUGCGCAGGCAGCUUACUAAACCAUAACUGACGCUCAGGCACGAAGGCGUGGGGAUCAAACA
rnacentral:rRNA from 1 species